rnacentral:rRNA from 1 species
GCUUGUCUCAAAGAUUAAGCCAUGCAUGUCUAAGUGUAAAUACGUCUACACUGUGAAACUGCGAAUGGCUCAUUAAAUCAGUUAUCGUUUAUUUGAUGAUCUCUUGUUACAUGGAUAACCGUAGUAAUUCUAGAGCUAAUACAUGCGUACAAGCCCUGACUCACGGAGGGGCGCUUUUAUUAGACUAAAACCAAACGGCUUCGGCCGUUCCACUGGUGAAUCUGAAUAACUUUGAGCGGAUCGCACGGCCUUGUGCCGGCGACGUGUCCUUCCAAGGUGUGCCCUAUCAACUGUCGACUGUGGCAUAGACGCCCACAGUGGUUUUGACGGGUAACGGGGAAUUAGGGUUCGAUUCCGGAGAGGGAGCCUGAGAAACGGCUACCACUUCUAAGGAAGGCAGCAGG